rnacentral:rRNA from 1 species
GGGUCCGCACAAGCGGUGGAGCAUGUGGUUUAAUUCGAUGCAACGCGAAGAACCUUACCAGGGUUUGACAUCCUGCGAAUCUCUUGGAAACGAGAGAGUGCCUUCGGGAGCGCAGUGACAGGUGGUGCAUGGCUGUCGUCAGCUCGUGUCGUGAGAUGUUGGUUAAGUCCCGCAACGAGCGCAACCCACGUCUUUAGUUGCCAGCAGUUCGGCUGGGCACUCUAUGGAAACUGCCCGUGAUAAGCGGGAGGAAGGUGUGGAUGACGUCAAGUCCUCAUGGCCCUUACGGGUUGGGCUACACACGUGCUACAUUGGGUAGAACAAUAAGUUGCUAAGUUGCGAAACCAAGCG